UUAGUGCUACCCACAGUCCAUCUAGCAGAUCAGAGUUGCUCUAUCACUUCUGAUACCAGUUCAGAAAGAGCAAUGCUUUUUCUUCCACAAGGCUGUUUUAGCAGUUCUGAACAAACAUCUACCUUAACUCCUCCUCUCCACUGGCUUUUGUUUGUUCUAAGGUGUUUCCAGAGCCACUUACGUGUAACAAAGAGUUUUAAUUCUGAAACCCGGAUCUAAUGUCCUAGUUGAGGACCACGCAGCUGCUGCAGUCACCACGGGAUAUAAUACCUGCUUAGCUAAAACUACUGUGAUACUUCUGCAAAGGCUGACCAAUGGGCAAGACAAAAACUUCGGGAGUCUUCCAUGGAUAAUAAAAUCGCUUCUAGCAAGUUUUACCAACAUGUUGAUGCAGUGGCUAGCAAAUAUGACUCAGUGGAAGAAGAGGAAGAAACUAGGAAUGAAUAUUCUUUCUCCUCAACUGCCUAGGCCUCAUGGAAGAGUACUUUCCCAAAGAAAGGGCAGUCCAAAGAGUGAGACUGGAAGAAACGAUCUUCAGAGACAGCUGGAAGUCGAGCAAGGAAUUAAAAACACAAGCACACAAACGGGCAGGAGCCGUGGGGACGGUGAAG